GUGGCUUAAUUUGACUCAACGCGGGAAAUCUUACCGGGUCCGGACACACUGAGGAUUGACAGGUAUUAUAUAGCGCGCUUGCGCGUCUAUUGUUAAAUAUGCUAGUCCUUUCAUGAUUAUGUGAUAGGUGGUGCAUGGCCGUUCUUAGUUCGUGGAGUGAUCUGUCUGCUUAAUUGCGUUUCAGAUAAGGAUCUAUAUUCUUUACAGAAGUGUUGCGUUGUG
rnacentral:rRNA from 1 species